GGAGAGAAUAAAGAAAACAAAGAAACAAAAGCCAAAUGGAGUCAAAUUGAGAUGGACAAGUCAAGUUUAUUGGAUAUCCCAUAUUGUUUAAAAUGAUGGUCCACAAUAACUGUAACACUUCAAUGUAAAAUACAAUCUAAAUUAACCAGCAACUGUAUUAAAUAAGGAUAAAGUGCAGGUAAAAAAAGGAAAAGCCAAAAGUUUCGGUGUUAAAAUGGUGAGCUUCCGUAAACUGGUUUGGAAUAAAAAAGAAUGUCUUUGGAUUUUGGCGACAUUUGCUUGUUAAAAUAAGCCCUUAUGCUAAACCGUAUCCAGAUUUAGAUUGAUGAUUAGUAAUUAAGGAAUCAAGGAGUGGACAAAUAAAUGCGUACUUGAUGAUGAAGAUAAUAAUGACGAAAGGUCGCCUUAAUAAUAGGGCAAAAGGUUUGAAAGAAAAAGGUCAAAGUUUGGAAUGUCAAGUCUCAAAGGAAAAGACGAUGACCAAGAAGCCAAAGAGUAGUAAUAAGGAUAAUAAGAGGUUAUACCUGUUGAAGUGUAAGAUAUGAAAAAUAAACAUUGUGACAAGCCUAAGAAAAUCUUUAAAGUAGGUAAAGGUUACCUGUUAAAUGGUGAAAGGUAAAAGUUGAAAAGGAUUUAACAUCAACAAGGAAACAAGCAGCAGCAGCAAAAAAAGUAAGAGUAAGGAUUGAAAGGUAAAGGUAAGAAACCAAAUUGUCUUGAAUCAAUCUUUUAACUCGCCAAAACUAGCCUUUUGUAUUUCACAGUGAAACUUAAUAACAAAGAGCUUGUUUUAAGUCCAUAGUAAAGUUGCCAAAAAAUAAACCAGGUCACAAUGGACCUAAGCCGGAAAAAAUAUUUCUUUUCAUUGCUUUCCUUUUCUCUCUCUUUCUCUCUCCUUUUUACCUCAAUCUUCGCCAAUCUUUUCCAUCUUUUUCAUCUCCUUCGCCUUCGCCUUCAUCUUUUCAUUUUCAUCUCUUAUUCACCUUUGUUUUCGGCAACAAAAAUCACUUUAAAUAUGUUAACCUUGCUUCUCAAAAAAAAUGUACCUGUCGUUAGUUUCUUUUUUACUUUGCCCACAUAUAUUUUUCAUCCCUAUUGUAACCUGUUACUUUACAAGUUGUUGAUGGCGUUGAUGAACAGGAUUUAGGCAUGAUUAGGAUGAUGGUGAUCUCAAUUUCGAUGACAGAUAAACCAAAUGACGGUUUCAACAUUUGAUUAUCUAAAUCCUGUAAAAAUCGAACCUGUCAUAAUUACUCUAUUAACACCGAUUAAAUACUGGUUUAUACCGUCAAUGGACUGGGUAUGGUAAAGCCUCCACCUAGGAUUGAUUACAGCGAAUGCCAAUCAUUUAAUCAUCAAAAUCAUCGCCUGUUCAGAAAUUUUAGCCAAAAUUUGCAGCCAAUUUUGUGGAUAUUUACAAUCAAUGAAUGAGAUCAAAUUUUGGUCUUUCAAUUUUUAUCUUAUA